AGGUGGAUGUCGUAUGUUGUGAUGGAAGAUGCAGUGCCCAUGGAGUGAAUGCAGAGUACCAAAAGUUCUUUGCUGCAUGUUGUGACAGAGGAUGUAGGGCUCUGGAGUGGGAUGCAGUGAGCCAGCAGUGAUUGCAGUACAGCUUCAGUGCCACUUCAGCUGGAUGCAGUGUCCCUGCAGUUGUUGCAAUGCCCCCGGCAUUGGCCUGGAAUGUGGGUGCAGUGCUCAUGCAGUGGAUGCAGUGUCCCACAAUGUGGAGGCAUUGUGGUGUGUUGUAGUAUGCAUUGCUGAUGAAGGUGAAUGCAGUGAUCCUGCAGUGAUGGCAGUGCGCCUGCAGUGCCACUUCAGCUGGAUUAAGUGAUGCUGCAGUGGUUUCAGUGCCCCCUACAAUUCCAGAAUGUGGAUGCAG
rnacentral:lncRNA from 1 species